GUCCAGGAGCGGGAAUCGAACCCACAACCUUCUGCUUACCGGGCAGGUGCCAUGUCCACUAAGCUAUCCUGGA
rnacentral:tRNA from 1 species